GUGAACGAAUUAACAUGCAAUAGAUCGAAUCGGGAGCAAAUCAUAGAAACAAAUCCGGAUACAAUAGAUCGACACAUACGAAACAAAUCACAUAAACAAAUAUCAACAUCUAAAUCACGAUCUGUUUAUCUUGUACACAGAAACAAAUAUCAACAUGUAAAUCAACACAUCCGCCCAGCACGUAGAACUUCGUCUUGUCCGACGACGACCCCAUGUAAGAUCCGCACGUCGUAAGGAGAAGAAAUUCAUCUAGCAGUAGAUCGAGAGAGGAACGAUGGAAAUAAAACGUACUGGAGGAGGCGGUGCCGAGGACAGCCGGAUCCGUCGGAGGCUGGGCUGCGGACGGCCGGAUCCGUCACCAUCAGCGACAGGCCGUCGCCGUACUACCGAGCUGCAGGGGAGGAGGUGGUUGUGGAGAAAGGUAGGAAGAAAGAAGAGAGAGAGGCGGCCGGCCGGAUCCCGCCCGUCCAUGGGGUUGGGAGGCGGGUGGGCGCGGGGCACGGAGGCCAUGGCGCAUGGAGAGCAGAGGGAGGUGGGAAUCGGCCAUGGCGUAGGUGGGGGAGCAGAGGGAGCACAGGAAGGGAGAAAGAAGAGAGGAAGGUGAAGGGAUCGAGAGGAGGGGAGGGGCUGGUGGGCGGUGGCGG
rnacentral:lncRNA from 1 species